rnacentral:tRNA from 1 species
GCCAGCGCGGGCUGCGGCUCGGGCCCCCGGCCCGGCGCGCUGGGCGCCGCGACCACCAGGUGCUCGGCCGGGGUUCCGCACCCGGCGCAGGCG